rnacentral:rRNA from 1 species
GACGAACGCUGGCGGCGUGCUUAACACAUGCAAGUCGAACGGAAAGGCCCUGCUCUUGUGGGGUGCUCGAGUGGCGAACGGGUGAGUAACACGUGAGUAACCUGCCCUUGACUUUGGGAUAACUUCAGGAAACUGGGGCUAAUACCGGAUAGGAGCUCUUGCUGCAUGGUGGGGGUUGGAAAGAUUCGGCGGUUGGGGAUGGACUCGCGGCUUACCAGCUUGUUGGUGGGGUAGUUGUUUACCAAGGCUAUGACGGGUAGCCGGCCUGAGAGGGUGACCGGCCACAUGGGGACUGCGAUACGGCCCAGACUCCUACGGGAGGCAGCAGUGGGGAAUAUUGCACAAUGGGCGGAAGCGUGAUGCAGCAGCGCCGCGUGCGGGAUGACGGCCUUCGGGUUGUAAACCGCUUUCGCCUGUGACGAAGCGUGAGUGACGGUAAUGAGUAAAGAAGCACCGGCUAACUACGUG